UACGAAGGGGGCUAGCGUUGCUCGGAAUUACUGGGCGUAAAGGGAGCGUAGGCGGACAUUUAAGUCAGGGGUGAAAUCCCGGGGCUCAACCUUGGAAUUGCCUUUGAUACUGGCUAUCUUGAGUGUGGGAGAGGUAUGUGGAACUCCGAGUGUAGAGGUGAAAUUCGUAGAUAUUCGGAAGAACACCAGUGGCGAAGGCGACAUACUGGCCCAUUACUGACGCUGAGGCUCGAAAGCGUGGGGAGCAAACAGG
rnacentral:rRNA from 1 species